UACAGAGGGUGCGAGCGUUGCUCGGAAUCACUGGGCGUAAAGCGCACGUAGGCGGAUUGCUAAGUCAGGGGUGAAAUCCUGGAGCUCAACUCCAGAACUGCCUUUGAUACUGGCGACCUUGAGUCCGGGAGAGGUGAGUGGAACUGCGAGUGUAGAGGUGAAAUUCGUAGAUAUUCGCAAGAACACCAGUGGCGAAGGCGGCUCUCUGGGACGGUACUGACGCUGAGACGCGAAAGCGUGGGGAGCGAACAGG
rnacentral:rRNA from 1 species